GACGAACGCUGGCGGCGUGCUUAACACAUGCAAGUCGAGCGGUAAGGCCCCUUCGGGGGUACACGAGCGGCGAACGGGUGAGUAACACGUGGGUGACCUGCCCUUAGCUCUGGGAUAAGCCUGGGAAACUGGGUCUAAUACCGGAUAUGACUCCAUGACGCAUGUUGUGGGGUGGAAAGCCUUGUGCGGCUAGGGAUGGGCCUGCGGCCUAUCAGCUUGUUGGUGGGGUGAUGGCCUACCAAGGCGACGACGGGUAGCCGGCCUGAGAGGGCGACCGGCCACACUGGGACUGAGACACGGCCCAGACUCCUACGGGAGGCAGCAGUGGGGAAUCUUGCGCAAUGGGCGAAAGCCUGACGCAGCGACGCCGCGUGGGGAUGACGGCCU
rnacentral:rRNA from 1 species